GUAAACUCAAGGCCUUGAUUUGAUUUCAUGUUUUUUACUUUUUAGUUAUGUGCUUGUAUGUUUUUAGCCGGUUUGAACUCACUAUUUAGCAUUGUAUGUUUUUACAUGGGCAGUUGUGUAAUGUGUUUUUACAUGAGUAGCUGGUUUGAAUUCACUAUUUAGUGUUUAGCUAUUAAUAUUUGAAGAACUUUUAAAUGUUUUCUUCACUCUUGUAUUAGAUGUUGAAGCUAUGUGGUAUUUUUGUUUCUUAAGCAGCUAGUUCCCUAAAUUCUAAUAUUUCGACCUAUCACAACUAGGACUAAUAGCAGGAUGUGGCUGCUCAGAUAAGAAUGUAUUUUGUCAGUUAUUAUUCAAUCAAAAGAAAUAGUUAACAUGUAGACAACGCGUGCUAGCUCUCUCACCUUACUAAUUCUACUUCAAUGCUGAGGUGUGAGGUGCAGGUUAUUUUAUAGAGUUACUGAAAGAGCCAGGUGGAUCUGAUCUGGCUUAUACACAAAUAGGCAACUAACAUUGCUUCUAGAAGUUUCAAACUUUGUCGAAAUCAAAACUUCCGUCCAAACUGUGGAGAAGAUUUGUAGAAGAAUCCUUUUAGUUUUCUGUACAGUUUCUUGUCUUGGAAAAGGUAGUUCCCUGUUAUCAGUUGGAUGAUGUUAGGAUACUAACAAUAAUUUAGACUGAAAGGACUGUAUAAAUGGCUUAAACAGAGGCGGUACUCUGGUUUACUUUAUUUAUAUAUAAAGCCAAAUGAUCCAGAUUCACAAGAUGAAAAGAAAUAACAAGAAACAACAAGGAAAAAUGCAGAAAAGAUCAUACCAGCCUCUUGGUUUUAAGAGACCCUGGUGGCUGCUGUAGCCCUACCUCCUAAAAGUUAAAAAUACCCUAGCUACUCCAACCUAAUAAUCCUAUUUAUAGACUCACAUAUUCCUCAGCCCAGUGGGCCCUACCACUCAGAACGUCCUUCCAAUCAUUUCUCCAUAAUAAUUCCCUGUGCAGUUACUUUUCUACCCUUCCUCCUAUAAGUAUGGAUAAUUGGGGGUCUUACAGAUGACUGCCAGUUUCUUGUGUUCGAUCAAAGGAGAGAGAUGGUUGGCUUCUUCCUGACAGGGACGGGGAUGACAGCCAGCUUUCAGAUCCUCCUGAUAGCAAGAUAUUGCAGGAAAAUGAAACAUCAUAUGCCAAAUACAUUAUAAUUUACCCUUCAUGUGAGAAUAACUUAAAAAUAUAAGAAUAUUGUCAGCAGUGUUCAUGAGUAUAGCAGAUCCAAUAAAGUAGCAUUUCUUGUGUCGUGUUUGUUAACUCAUUUAUUCUUUUAAUGCUUGGGUCUUGAAUCAAGAACCUUGUACUGAAGUUAUCAGCUCUGAUUUCAGGGGCCAAGAAAGAAGAUCCUUU
rnacentral:lncRNA from 1 species